CCUUGAAACAAAUCGAUUUCAACGUCUAGUUGCAAUUCCAUGGUUAUUCCCAUCAAUAGUAUAUAAAUAAAUGAACAGAACCCUUUGUUUUGAUGCUAGUCGUCACAGAUAAGUGAAAAAUUAUUAUCAAAAUGCGAUAUUUAGCGGCCUAUGUUUUAUCUGUACUGGGGGGUAAAGAAUCUCCAACAGAAGAGAAUAUACAAACAAUUCUAGGCAGUGUUGGCGUUGACUGUGAUUCAGAUAGAGUCAGUAUGGUAAUAAAACAUCUCCAAGGAAAAAACAUCGAGGAAAUAAUCAGUAAUGGUCAAUCUUUGUUAGCUAAUGUUUCUGGAGCUAGUUCUACACCUGUAACAAUGUUAACAACAGAAGAUGUGACAAAACCUCUUACAAUAGCUAAAGAAGAUGACAAGGGAGGUGACUCAGAUGAUUCCGAUGACGGGGAAGGCCUGCUGAGUUUAUUUGAUGAUUAACCAAAAAGAUGUCGUCUAUUAGCACACAGCAAACAAAAGAAGUUUAUAAAAUUAUUGUAACCAUGUGUUUCAGUUGCGAAUCUCACCCAGAGAUCUCUACGUACAGAGAUUCUCUCGUGUAAACCUACUUGCUAUCGAAGAUUUUCUACAUACAUUUUAUCAUUCGAUAAAUGACUGCACAUAUAUUAUCUAAGUCUCUGCACAAAAAUUGUAUAGAAAAGCUGGUAUUCGGUUUUCUAUGAACUGAUUGUAAGAUUUAAGUAAACUUGAAGGUGUAAGCACAGAUAUGAGCUUAAGAUAUUUCAAAGCACUUAUUCUUCCUGGAGCAGAGGUUUAGUAGAAUAGUGAAAAGUUUUUCAAUUAAUUUUAGUAAUCAAUACGACUUUUACACAGAACAAAUGAUCCAUUUGAAUAAUGUUCACUGUGCCUGGUACGAUCCGAAACACCAAAUUUGACUGUAAACCUAAAUUUAAUGCACAAUCGUUUUUAAUAUGAAAUAUAUCUCGUUUGUAAGUUUAUUUUAUAAUUUUUUGGAAUUAAAAUGUGAUGUCUUA